GACGAACGCUGGCGGCGUGCUUAACACAUGCAAGUCGAACGGUGAAAGCGGAGCUUGCUCCGCUGGGUCAGUGGCGAACGGGUGAGUAACACGUGGGCAACCUGCCCCUCACUUCGGGAUAACUCCGGGAAACCGGGGCUAAUACCGGCUAUGACCUCCUUGGGCAUCCUUGGAGGUGGAAAGUUUUUCGGUGAGGGAUGGGCCCGCGGCCUAUCAGCUUGUUGGUGAGGUAGUGGCUCACCAAGGCGACGACGGGUAGCCGGCCUGAGAGGGCGAUCAGCCACACUGGGACUGAGACACGGCCUAGACUCCUACGGGAGGCAGCAGUGGGGAAUUUUGGACAAUGGGCGAAAGCCUGAUCCAGCAAUGCCGCGUGUGUGAAGAAGGCCUUCGGGUUGUAAAGCACUUUUGUCCGGAAAGAAAUGGCUCUGGUUAAUACCUGGGGUCGAUGACGGUACCGGAAGAGUAAGGACCGGCUAACUACGUGCCAGCCGCCGCAGUAA
rnacentral:rRNA from 1 species